rnacentral:rRNA from 2 species
UUCCGGUUGAUCCCGCCGGACCUGACUGCUAUCGGAUUGAUACUAAGCCAUGCGAGUCAUUGUAGCAAUACAAGGCAUACGGCUCAGUAACGCGUAGUCAACCUAACCUAUGGACGGGAAUAACCUCGGGAAACUGAGAAUAAUGCCCGAUAGAACAUUAUGCCUGGAAUGGUUUAUGUUCCAAAUGAUUUAUCGCCGUAGGAUGGGACUGCGGCCUAUCAGUUUGUUGGUGAGGUAAUGGCCCACCAAGACUAUUACAGGUACGGGCUCUGAGAGGAGUAGCCCGGAGAUGGGUACUGAGACACGGACCCAGGCCCUAUGGGGCGCAGCAGGCGAGAAAACUUUGCAAUGUGCGAAAGCACGACAAGGUUAAUCCGAGUGGUUUCUGCUAAAGAAACCUUUUGUCAGUCCUAGAAACACUGAUGAAUAAGGGGUGGGCAAGUUCUGGUGUCAGCCGCCGCGGUAAAACCAGCACCUCAAGUGGUCAGGAUGAUUAUUGGGCCUAAAGCAUCCGUAGCCGGCUCUGUAAGUUUUCGGUUAAAUCUGUACGCUCAACGUACAGGCUGCCGGGAAUACUGCAAAGCUAGGGAGUGGGAGAGGUAGACGGUACUCGGUAGGAAGGGGUAAAAUCCUUUGAUCUAUUGAUGACCACCUGUGGCGAAGGCGGUCUACCAGAACACGUCCGACGGUGAGGGAUGAA